rnacentral:misc_RNA from 1 species
GAUGAAGAACGUAGCGAAAUGCGAUAAGUAAUGUGAAUUGCAGAAUUCAGUGAAUCAUCGAAUCUUUGAACGCACAUUGCGCCCCUUGGUAUUCCGAGGGGCAUGCCUGUUCGAGCGUCAUAUUAACCACUCCCGCUUGCGGGGUCUUGGGCUUCGCCUCCGGGCGGGCCUUAAAAUCAGUGGCGGUGCCGUCGGGCUCUACGCGUAGUAAAUUUUCUCGCGAUAGGGUCCCGGUGGAUGCUUGCCAACAACCCCCAACUUCUUAAGGUUGACCUCGGAUCAGGUAGGGAUACCCGCUGAACUCAAGCAUAUCAAUAAGCGGAGGA